UACGGAGGGGGCUAGCGUUGUUCGGAAUUACUGGGCGUAAAGCGCACGUAGGCGGCUUUGUAAGUUAGAGGUGAAAGCCCGGGGCUCAACUCCGGAAUUGCCUUUAAGACUGCAUCGCUAGAAUUGUGGAGAGGUAAGUGGAAUUCCGAGUGUAGAGGUGAAAUUCGUAGAUAUUCGGGAAGAACACCAGUGGCGAAGGCGACUUACUGGACACAGUAUUGACG
rnacentral:rRNA from 1 species